rnacentral:tRNA from 1 species
GGCCCGUUGGUGUAAUUGGUUAGCACGUCAGACUUUCAAUCUGAAGGGACAUAGAGCAUUGCGAGUUCGAACCUCGCACGGGUCA